UGUAUUUUUGGACAGGCGCCUGUCAAAGAGCAAAAUUGUUUUUAUAAAAUAAAUCAAAUUGCUUAUCAAAGAGAUGAUUUAGUGGCCAGCAGUGGGGGAUAUAAAAGCGCCUCAAAAUACGCGCAACAAAAGGGGGCAUAGCCAAGCCAAAUAAUUGAAUAAAGAGCUUCACACAAAGUGAUGUCGAAGACUUUUCCUGUGAUGAGACUUUAUCCUAACUUUCGGCACAGCUGCGACUAGGGAAAAUGGGGCAAAUAAAAGCAACAGCAAAAGCAGCAGCAGCAGCAUCAAAAGCCCGCAGAAAUUGCUGGAGAGCCAACAAAUAAUCUGUACGCAAAUUAAAACAAAAAGCGAAGAACCCCAAUGAAAAUUAAAUGAAAGAAGCGUGUGCCCAAGUGUGAUUAAAACUUUUGCCAGCGUAUAUGGGGAGCCGGUGCUUCCUCAACAUGUGCAAAAUACUCAUAAUUGGGUUACCGAGACUUUAAAAUCCACGCUCAAUUGGCAUAAUACUGUAAUAAGCAACAUUUGGCAACGAAUCAUUAAAAAAUAAAUAAAAACAGGGGCUGAAACAGGGCUGACAACCCCCUUUUCGGUCAGGGGUUGCACUUGCCAGACGAGGACGCACCUUGCCACGCUUGCAACGCUUGCCUCAGUUGUCUGUCGUUGCUGGGCUUAUAAAGGAUUAACACGGUGCACAGCAGCAAUUUGAAUAGGUGGCACAAUUGGAAAAUUGUUUCAAGCGAUUGCCCAACAAACGGCAAGUGACACCAACCACCAAAAAAGAGACGAACCGACAUAAAGAGUGACAAACAGGCGAGGGUAUAGCCAGUCUAAGCCCGGUUAUGUCGGCUGUUGCCUUUCCCAUCAUGCGUAAUUCUAUUUGUCAUUUUGAUUAUGACAUUGUAAUGCUUUAAUUGAUGCCACAGAGAUACACGGCCAAAUGCCAAACGCUUCUGUGAUGGGAUUCUGCACAGACUGCAAAAGGCAAUCAACCCUCUUACUAUGUAUGGCUAGACGACUAUGAUGUGACAAAAUGCCCUUCCUUUCUUCUUUUUGAUUUUCGAUUGUGUGUUACGUGUCGCGUCUGACAAAUCCUAUAAACAGCCCGAGGUGAGGGCGUCUGUUUUUUUUUUUUUGGCGAAACGCUUUGAAACUUCAAUGAAUUUUAAAUUGAUAGUCUACAAUGAUGUUCAGUAGUAUAGUGUCCGAUUUUUUUCACAGAAAGCAAAGCCAUGCUCGUCAUUCAAGUUGGAGUAUCUAAUCCAAAGAAAAUGGUUAUUUUUGUAGAAGGCAAUUGCUAAUUAGAACUUUAAAAAAGUUUUCAACGAUCUUUGUGGAAAUUAGUUUGAGAAAUGUUUGGAUAGUUUCGAUGGAAAUCUACCUCCCAUUAGUAAAAAGACUGAUGGACUUCUAGUUCUAUGUGAAGCAUCAUGGAAGACAUGGGCCCUAAGGAACGAGGGCUAGAAAUGGCCUUCUGGUGGAAAAUUGGAAAAUUUGUAGUACAAGACUUGACCGGGUUAAUACCCACUUGUACUUCAUUCUACUUGCAUUUAUUUAUUAUUUUAUUUACUAUAAAGUCGAAGUCAAUUCAACACCA